CCUAUACUCCCUCCGUCCGGAAAUACUUGUCGAAGAAAUGUAUAAAAAUGGAUGUAUCUAGAACUAAAAUACGUCUAGAUACAUCCAUUCAUCCGACAAGUAUUUCCGGACGGAGGGAGUAGAUA
rnacentral:pre_miRNA from 1 species